GGAUGGGCACCAGGCUUGGUUUGGGGACACCAGGCUCGGUUUGUGGGCACCAGCAGCUGGGUGGGAGCAGCCAGGGAACCCCAGGUGGAGUUCCAGCUCCAGGAAUCACACAGGGUUUUGUUGGUAAAGGCACUGGGCAGCAGCGGGGACCCUGCAGCUGGACCCGUCCGCCACGCGUGGCUCGGGCACGUGCGCCUCUGGCAGGAUUUUCCUGCGACUCUCCGGGGCAAGUCCCCAUCACGGAGCAGGUGGGAUGAAACAGAAGGCUCUUCUCUUCUCUUCCUCCCCUCUCCUCCCUUCCUCACCCGUUGCUGGAGCUCUGCGUGUGCCUUUUAAUUCUGCUAGCGAAGCUGCGGGGACCCUGGAGGGAGAAGAGCCGUUCCUGACCCUUCUGCAUAGUAAACAGAUGCAGAGCACUCUGGUGCUUCUGCUCUAGGAAACGUGAAACCCUUUUAAGAUCUAGCUGGAGCAUCAAAAGCCUGCCUUAAUAUUUUUUUUUUUUUUUUUUUUUUACAUCGUUACAGCCCAGCUCCGGUUCAACCCUUGAAACACUGCCUGCUGGGAGAGCUCUCUGUUGCGGUACCAGGUUUGCUUUUUGGGUCAUCUCAAAGCACCCAGGGACGCGUGUCCUGCCUGAUUUCCAGGCUGCCCCCCUCGGGUCAGGGCGGUGAUGGGGGAAUAUCUGAGCUUUUCUCAUCCCAGAGGCUGGGGGAAGCUCGGAGGGCACACGGGGAGCAGGGGUGGUGCUGCCCCACUUGCACGAUGCCCCAGUCUGGCUGUCUCUUGACCCAAACAGCAAUUUUUCUCACCAGUUUUUCUUCUUUUAAGGGUUUCAAGCAGGGAGAGACACCUGGGAAGGUGCAACUGCUUGCAUCAGCUGAAACACCUUUAAAAAUUUAAAAAAAAAAUAAAACGUCUCCCUAGUUUAUUGCAGAGAUCUCACUCUCUUUUCUCCAGAAAACAUCAGUUUCGAGCACCUUCUGCUGAGAAGUGCCAUUAAUCACGGCAGCUGGGCUCUCAGCACCUGGAGCUUGCUCUCACCAGCCCGUCUAGCUCUCUGCUCUGCUUCUCUCCUUCACCUAAGGAGGGUUUUUGCAUCAGCAGGCCAACACCCAUGGCAAACCCGAUUUCCCCAGGUACUGUUCCCAGGGGGAAUCCUGCCCACGAGUGAAGGCAGGGCCUGUAGGGCCACGUCGGUGCUCAUGGAGUUGUUUUUGUAGGGUCUCCAGCAUGCGCUGGGAUCCGAGCACCAGGCUGGUGGGAGAAGCUAGGUUUUCUGGCCCAAAUCAGCCCCCAGGUGAAAAUGAGGUGGCACGGAGGGGACCCCAUGGAAGGAGCUGGCUGUGCCCAGGGCUGGGAAUGUGUCUCGUCCAUUUGUCCUGGUUCAGACACCGCCUGUACCAGGAGCUUUUCCUGCCCUAGCUGGGACCAGAAGCACACGGUUUGGGGCACAGCUGAAGGCCACCUGCAGAUAUAUCCAGGAGCCAUCCGAGCAGCCCCAGCUCUCUCUCCAGCACUACAGCUCGCUGCAGGGCCACCUGAGGAUCCUCCAGCAUCCCUUUCCCUUCUGCUGCUUUCAACUCCCCAGGAGAGGGCAGCUGGAACGCUUCAAGCCUCAAUUUAAGCACUUCAGGAGGCGAUGAAAACCCUCCAGGAGGGGGGCAGAGCUCCUGGGGUGUCUGUCCCACUGGGGGUCGGUGCUGCCUGAAAUUAGGGUGGUUUCACAGCUGAACCCCGAGCUGCAAACAGGGCAGGAGGCCACCAGGAGAGCCCCUCAGGGCUGCUGGGUCUCCUAAUCAGCAGCAACACGCUGAUAUCGCUGCUGCAGUGGUGUCAAUCUCCAUCGGGGUAGUGGCACAACGGAUUUAAAAGGGAGCUGUACACGCAGAAAGGGGCACUCAUGCUUGCUAAUCCCCCAUAAGCCUGUAAUUCCCAUUCUUUUUUCCCCAGAUCAUAAGUGCAGAUCUGUUAAGGCCCCGUCACUCGCUGCACGCUAAAUUCCUUUUUUUCCUGUCUGGAACCUGCUGGGUGCCCUACAGAUGAUAGGGGACAGGGAGCCGUGCCAACCCCUGUCCCAUACAGUGACAGAUGUAGUGGUGCCCGCUGAACGUCACCAGCAGGGACACCUGGAACAAGGCACUGCUCCCUCUCUGGAGAGCCUGAGGAUGUCUUCUAGAGGGAUUUCUGCACCAAACCAA